UCAGAAACCAAAGGUUUUCCUCAUUCACAGAACAGAAGAGAAAGGGUUGGUUCCAUCUACACAAAAAAAGUGGGCGCACAAAGGAUGCAGCUGACAUCUCACUUGUCCUCCAGGUUGGAACAAUGAACGCUUUGCUGCCCAAGUCCAUCC